rnacentral:rRNA from 2 species
CACAUGACUCUCGGCAACGGAUAUCUUGGCUCUCGCAUCGAUGAAGAACGUAGCAAAAUGCGAUACCUGGUGUGAAUUGCAGAAUCCCGUGAACCAUCGAGUUUUUGAACGCAAGUUGCGCCUGAGGCCUUUUGGUCGAGGGCACGUCUGCCUGGGCGUCACGC